UACGUAGGUGGCAAGCGUUGUCCGGAAUUAUUGGGCGUAAAGCGCGCGCAGGCGGUCUUUUAAGUCUGAUGUGAAAGCCCACGGCUCAACCGUGGAGGGUCAUUGGAAACUGGAGGACUUGAGUGCAGAAGAGGUUGGUGGAAUUCGUGGUGUAGCGGUGAAAUGCAUAGAGAUCACGAAGAACACCGGUGGCGAAGGCGGCCAACUGGUCCGACGCUGACGCUGAGGCGCGAAAGCGUGGGGAGCAAACAGG
rnacentral:misc_RNA from 1 species